rnacentral:rRNA from 1 species
UACGUAGGGGGCUAGCGUUGUCCGGAAUCAUUGGGCGUAAAGCGCGUGUAGGCGGCUCGAUCAGUCCGCUCUGAAAGCCCGGGGCUCAACCCCGGGAGGCGGGUGGAUACUGUCGAGCUCGAGUCCGGAAGAGGCAAGUGGAAUUCCCGGUGUAGCGGUGAAAUGCGCAGAUAUCAGGAGGAACACCAAUAGCGAAGGCAGCUCGCUGGGACGGUACUGACGCUAAGGCGCGAAAGCGUGGGGAGCGAACAGG